GACGAACGCUGGCGGCGUGCUUAACACAUGCAAGUCGAACGAUGAAGCUAGAGCUUGCUCGGGUGAAUUAGUGGCGAACGGGUGAGUAACACGUGAGUAACCUGCCCCGAACUCUGGGAUAACUGCUGGAAACGGUAGCUAAUACUGGAUACGAACUACGAAGGCAUCUUCUGUAGGUGGAAAGAAUUUCGGUUCGGGAUGGACUCGCGGCCUAUCAGCUUGUUGGUGAGGUAAUGGCUCACAAAGGCGACGACGGGUAGCCGGCCUGAGAGGGUGACCGGCCACACUGGGACUGAGACACGGCCCAGACUCCUACGGGAGGCAGCAGUGGGGAAUAUUGCACAAUGGGCGCAAGCCUGAUGCAGCAACGCCGCGUGAGGGAUGACGGCCUUCGGGUUGUAAACCUCUUUUAGUAGGGAAGAAGCGAAAGUGACGGUACCUGCAGAAAAAGCACCGGCUAACUACGUGCCAGCCGCCGCCGUAA
rnacentral:rRNA from 1 species